AAACCGGUGGUGUCAAUGGUUAACAUAGGAGGCUCAUAUUCUUAAGAUGAAGGUUCGAUUCCUUCCCGGUGGAUA